UACGUAGGGGGCAAGCGUUGUCCGGAAUCAUUGGGCGUAAAGAGCGUGUAGGCGGCCCGGUAAGUCCGCUGUGAAAGUCCAGGGCUCAACCCUGGGAUGCCGGUGGAUACUGUCGGGCUCGAGUCCGGAAGAGGAGUGUGGAAUUCCUGGUGUAGCGGUGAAAUGCGCAGAUAUCAGGAGGAACACCGGUGGUGUAGACGGCUUUCUGGACCGUAACUGACGCUGAGACACGAAAGCGUGGGUAGCAAACAGG
rnacentral:rRNA from 1 species